rnacentral:rRNA from 1 species
UUGCGGUUAAAAAGCUCGUAGUUGGAGUUCUGCCAGGUGCCGCCUGUCCGCCCCAGUGGUGAGUACGUGGCGCGCAUUUGGCCCUUUCAAGGGGAGCGUAUUGCACUUAACCGUGUGGUGCGGGAUCCUUGACUUUUACUUUGAGGAAAUAAGAGUGUUCCAAGCAGGCUCUCGUCGUGCAUAGCUCAGCAUGGAAUAAUAGCAUUGGACCUCGAUUCCAAACUGUUGGUUGUAGGAAACGAGAUAAUGAUGAAGAGGGAUAGUUGGGGGCAUUCGUAUUUAACUGUCAGAGGUGAAAUUCUUGGAUUUGUUAAAGACGAACUACUGCGAAAGCAUCUGCCAUGGAUGUUUUCAUUGAUCAAGAACGAAAGUUAGGGGACCGAAGACGAUCAGAUACCGUCCUAGUCUUAACUAUAAACCAUGCCGGCUAGAGAUCGGAGGUUGUUCGUUUUGUGACGCCUUCAGCAUCUUGA